rnacentral:sRNA from 1 species
AGCCCAAUCAAUCUGAGUGGCGGUGU